UCAGCCUUUUAAAAUCCUUUAUUUUCUCCUUUUCCACAUUAAAAACACAUUUGAGAUAUACACAGAAAAUGUUUCUCUAAAAAAACGCACACAUACACACAAAACAGGAGGUCUCUUAAGGAGUCUACUGCUGAGAAGGUAAAAGCAUUUUGCUCAUUUUUAAUUUGCUAAAACAAUCCAAGCAUGCUUGGUACCCAGAGGGUAUUCUCAAAUAAACUUGUAUCUCUAGCUGCCAGCUUAGUUGAUUGAAAACAGAAGGCAAACGUUUCUUAAAGAAUAUGUUAAACUGUUAUGUCUCCCAGUACCACUCAGGAUACACACACACACACACAGACACACACACGCACACAUACCGCAUAGUCAAGGAUUUGCUUGAAAGCAGCCAGUUCUAUUAUCUAAAAGGUAAUACAUUUGUACCAAAUUACUCCUGCCUACUGCGGUGCACCUUUUAGCGAAGAAGCCAGUGCCACUGGGAUCCUGGACAGUUCUGGUGUGCCAUUCUCCACGUACAAAGCCAACGGCCCCAUUUGCGACUUUGCUAACUUAGUUGGCUUCCGCCCAGCCGAACCCCGAAGCACAGUCACUGAAAACGUUUUGAUACCAGAAAAUCAUUUCCACGACAGUGCAAGUGUUCGAAAGCACAAAGGCAGACUGUCUACCCGCGACAGUUCGCAAGUUGCGGUGGCGGGGCGGCUGUGCGGAGCGCGCGUGCAGACUUUUUGUAGAAACUCUGCAGGUCAGAAGAUUUUUGUAUGGAAUGAUCUUCUCCAAUCAAUUAUUUGAAUCUAAGAGGAAGAGAAGAUCAUCAGUGGCAAAUGGCAGUCACAGGAAAGCAACACCCACAGCCGGUUUCACACGUGUGGAGAGCACCCUGAGCCUCCUCCUCCUGGUUUCCCGUGCUCUGCAAGUUCAGAGAAACUUCUCUCACAACCAACUAUAGAAACAAUCUUGGAACGUACAGUCUUAGAAAUGGCUUUUUAAUUGCAGCAUAUCAGAGUGAAAAAGGACCCAGAGAUGUUGGAAUCAGACAAUCCUGGUUUCAAAUCGGUUUCAUUGUUCAUCCUCAUGUGAUGUUUGGCAAGAAAUAAAACAUUUCUGCGUUCAGUUUCCUUGUCUGUGAUAUUACAUAACAUAUUGCAAAUAUGCUGAGUGUUGAGAAAAUAAUGAACAACAUGCAAGGAGUAGCUGGGAUAUGGUAGCAGCUCAGUAGAUAAUGAUGAUGAUCAAUAUUCACCAUUGACAAGUAGCUGUGAAAUCCACAAAUGGUGGACAUAAAAGGUUAACCAGUGAAGUGCUGGGACAACGUAGCUGAAGAAAUAUUGGAAUGUUCCUGCUCAGAUUGGCCUCAGCCUGAAAACUGUUUACUUCCUGCCCAAAUCUGGGGCCUGUCUCCUCUUCCAGCAUUCCCUGAGGGAGGAGACAGAGAAAGAAAGUAUAGGCAGAAAUCAUAGAAGUCAGCUGCUUUCAGAUAACUUCUAUAGCUGGUAUUUUUACAGAGACUACAUGUUGGGAGAUGGUAAAUUUACCUAGAAAUUAAUGUGAUGAAGACUUUAUACGUGAAACGGGAACUUUGGGAUACUGACAACAGACAGAAUAAUGACUCUGUAGUGGUUUUUUGGGGGUUUUGUUUUGUUUUAGACAAAGUCUUGCUCUGUCACCCAGGCUGGAGUGCAGUGGCGCGAUUUUGGCUCACUGCAACCUCUGCCUCCUGAGUUCAAGUGAUUCUCCUGCUUCAGCCUCCUGAGUAGCUGGGAUUACAGGUUCCCGCCACCACACCUGGCUAGUCUUUUGUAUUUUUAGUAGAGAUGGGGUUUCACCAUGUUGGCCAGGCUGGUUUCGAACUCCUGGCCUCAAAUGAUCCACCUUGGCCUCCCAAAGUGCUGGGAUUACAGGCAUGAGCCACUGCGCCUGGCCAUGAUUCUUUAGUAUUGAUAAAAGUUUUCAUAAAAGAUAUGUCACAGAGUAGGAUACAAAAAAGACACACAUCAAGCAUACUUUGGAUGGUGAAAUGAGAAUAGUGUACAGGGAAAGGCAGGAAAGACCUGGCUUAGGGAUUCUCCAGUUCCCCAACUGGGCACCACUGAAUGCUGGAAACAAUACUGAAGAUGACAAUUUUCUAGGGACCUAAUCUGGCAGAGGGUAAUAGUAACCCUCCCAGAAUGGUGUCUUAAUAAGUUUUCUUCCUGCUUGGAGAUGUUACGCUAUCUAUUUGCAAGUAUGUUUUGUCGUUCAAUUAUCAUAUCAAGCCUAUGAAAUUGGUUUUAUUUUUAGCCCCAUGGUCCUGGGAAUAUUUUGGGAAGUGGUUACAUCUUGAGUAAUGGAGAAUACCAGUUGAAUCCCACAUUGUGUGAAAUAUGUCUCCAUUGGAGAGAUUUACCAUUUGUCUUCCCAGUAUCCAUUCGCUAUUUUUAAGGUAAAAUGACACCUCAAAUUCCAUCUGGGGAACCACUCUCUCCCACUCUCAGGCCACAUAGUUUAAAAAGCAUCACAUCCAUUCUUAACAUUCUCUUUUGUUAGAGGAUUUAGUUCAUUCAUCCUCCAUGUGACCCAGUCAGAACGAGGCAUAAGGAGACUGUUGUUCUUUCCCAAGGGACUUGAACCUGGAAGUAGGUGAGCUGGUGCUACUGUUGCCACCUUGCCACCACAGGUAAGUGAAGAAUAAGGCCAAUGAGUGGAUGAACACAGAGCCCACUGAGAGGUGGACAGAAAAUGGGUCUUGAUGACAUUUUUGGAGCCUAAAUGAAACUGUUAUUGAAGAAAGUCCCAUCCUGGAAUUUUUACCUAUGUGAGCCAAUAAACUUUCUUCUGCCUUGAGCUAGUUUUGGUGGAGUGUUUUUUGUUUUUUUGUUUUUUUUUUUUCAUUUUCAACAGAAGAGAGUUGAUUUGGUUUGGCUGUGUCCCCACCCAAGUCUUAUCUUGAAUUCUAGUUCCCAUAAUCCUCACAUGUCAUGGGAGGGACCUGGUGGGAGGUAAUUGAAUCAUGAGGGUGGUUUCUCCCAUUCUGUUCUUGUGAUAACGAGUUCUCAUGAGAUCUUAUGGUUUUAUAAGCAUCUGGCAUUUCCCCUGCUUGCACUCCUUCUCUCUCCUGCCGCUGUGUGAAGAGGUGCCUUCCACCAUGAUUGUAAAUUUCCUGAGGCCUCCCCAGCCCUGUGGAACUGUGAGUCAAUUAAACCUCUUUUCUUUAUAAAUUAGCCAGUCUUGGGUAUUUCUUCAUAGCAGCAUGAGAACAGACUAAUACAAGAGUCCUAACUGGAAAAAGAUCUCUUUCUCCCCACUCAAUGCCAUAACAAACUAUAGAUAGAGCUUGUCUGUUAGGUGGCUGUUUUGCAAACCAAGGACAAAAUGGAAAACUGGCAAGUCAUGGGCAAUUUUAUGCUCUGAGAGAAUGUAAAGACAAUCUCCCCAACAUAGAGCACAUUUCUGCAGGGAUUGCUGGUUACAUACUGUGAUAGUUGUUCUUUCCGUCUUAAAGUCCUGAUUAUAGCUGGGCAUAUAAUCAAUUUUUUAAAAAGACUUCAUCAGACUCUUUUGUGACUCAGCAUGGCCAUCUGACUAAUCUCUGGCCAAUGGGAUUUAAGCAGCUUCUCCAGGUAAUUUCCUUAAAAGAUAGCCAGGAUGUGCCCUUUGUCCUUUUUUCUUUGUCCUUUCCUUCAUCGUGCUGCCUAAAAUGUGGGUAUGAUGGCUGGAAUUCUAACUAUCAUCUUGUAUCAUGAGGCCAGAUUUCUACUUCAGAAAUGGCAGAGCCAUGAGCUAAAAAGAUUCUGGAUCCGUAGGAACUUCAGGGAACAAGCUAUCUUACAGCUCUGGUUUGCCAACAUUUGAAUUCUUACUUGAGAAAGAAAUAAACCUCUGUCCUAUUUAAGUCACUGUUAUUUUGAGUUUUUGUUAGCAUCAAGCUUAAUCCUAAUUAAGGCAGUUCCAAGAACAUGUUUUACAAGAAAUUAUUUUCUCAAUCUUUCUUUGACUAUCCAUGAAACUGAAAAUGAGUACAGCUAAUGUAUGUAAAGUCCAUAUGAUGUUGAUAUAUUCUUUCAAUAUAUAUUAUAUAAGCAAUUGCAGCAAUGUCCAAGUUAGAUUCAGUGCAAACCAAAGUGACCCAAUUCUUCCUAUCUGCUGGGUGCUGUGCUAGGCCAAUGGGAUUUGUCAAUGAUAAAAGUACAAAUUUAUUUUUUCUUUCCUUAACAAAUAUUUCUUUUAUAAAAUUUUGUACCCUUUGACUAAUAACUGCAUUUUUUUUCUCCCCCUGGUGCCUGGCAACCACUAUUUUACUCUCUGCUUUUAUGAAUUUGAUUAUUUUACAUUCCUCAAGUAAGUGAUAUCAUGUAGUAUUUGUCCUUCUGUGUCCGGUUUAUUUCAUUUAGCAUAAUGUCCUCCAGGUUCAUCCAUGUUGUUGCAAUUGGCAAGGUUUUCUUUUCUUUCUUUAAGUCUGAAUAGUAUUCCAGUGUAGGUAUGUACCACAUUUUCUUUAUUCAUUCAUCUGAUGAUGGAUAUAUAGCUUAUUUCCAUAUCUUGGCUAUUGUGAAUAAUGCUGCAAUGAACAUGGGAAUGAAGGUAUCUCUUUGAGAUCCUGAUUUCCAUUUUUUUUUUGAUAUCUACCUAGAAGUGGGAUUGGUGGGUUUAUGGUUUGUUUAUUUAUUUAUUUAUUUAUUUAUUUAUUUAUUUAUUUAUUUUUGAGACGGAGUUUUGCUCUGUCACCCAGGCUGGAGUGCAGUGGCAUGAUCUCGGCUCACUGCAACCUCCGCCUCCUGGGUUCAAGUGAUUCUCCUGCCUCAGCCUCCCGAGUAGCUGGGAAUCCAGGCAUGCAACAACACGCCUGGCUGAUUUUUGUACUUUUAGUAGGGACAGGGUUUCACUAUAUUGGCCAGGCUGGUCUCGAGCUCAUGAUAUCAUGUGAUCCGCCCACUUUGGCCUCCCAAAGUGCUGGGGUUACAGGUGUGAGCCACUGCACCUGGCCAUCAUUUUUAAUUUUUUGAGGAACCUCUAUGCUGUUUUCCAUAGUGACUUACGAAUUUACAUUCUUACCAACAAUGUACAAUGGUUCCCUUUCCUCCACAUGCUCAAUAACAACUUAUCUUUCAUUUGUUUGUUUGUUUAUUUAUUUGUUUGUUUUAUAAUAGUCAUACUAACAGAUGUGAGGUGAUAUCUCAUUGUGGUUUUGAUUUGUUUAUUUGUUUUAUUAUUUGUUUGUUUGUUUUAUAAUAGUCAUACUAACAGAUGUGAGGUGAUAUCUCACUGUGGUUUUUAUUUCCAUUUCCCUGGUGAUUAGUGAUGUUGAGCACCUUUUUGUAUACCUGUUGGCCAUGUGUAUGUCUUCUUUGAAAACUGUUCAGGUCCUUUACCCAUUUUUUAAUCGAGUUACUUGCUUUUUGCUAUUGAGUUGUAGAAAUUAUUUAUAUAUAUUGGAUGUGUCAACCCUUGAUCAGAUAUAUCAUUUGCAAAUACUUUCUCCCAUUCCUUAUGCUGCCUUUGCAUUUUGUUGAUUGUUCUCUUUGCUGCGCAGAAUCUUUUUAUUUUGAUGUAAUUUCAUCUGCCUACUUUUGCUUUUUUGCCUGAAUUUUGGUUUUAUAUUUAAAAAAAUCACUGCCAAGGCCAAUGUCAGGAAGUUAUUUUCCUAUGUAGUCUUCUAGGAGUUUUACAGUUUCAGGUCUUAUGUUUAAAUCUUCAAUCCAUUUUGAGUUGAGUUUUUGGUAUGGUUUAAGAUAAAGGUCCAAUUGUCCAAUUUGCAUGGAGAUAUACAGUUUUUCCAGUACCGUUUAUUGAAGAGACUGUCCUUUCCCCAUUGUGUAUUCUUGGCACCCUUGUCAAAGAUUAUUUGACCAUCUGUUAGUCUAUAUGUCUGUUUUUAAGCCAGUACCAUACUGUUUUGAUUACUGUAGCUUAAUAACAUAUUUUUAUUUUAUUUUGAGUUUUAUAGAGGCAGGGUCUCACUAUAUUGGCCAGGAUGGUCUCAAACUCCUGGUCUCAAGCAAUCCUCCUGCCUCAGUCUCCCAGUGUGCUGGGAUUACAGGCAUGAGCCACCACACCUAGCUUUUUAUAUAUUUUGAAAUCAGGAAGUUUGAUGCCUCCUUCCAGUUAUGUUCUUGAUGAAAGUAUGAGUUUUAUACACAGAUUUAAUUUUUGGUUAAAAAUCAAUUAAAUUAUACUUUCAAAGAUAAGAUUUUGAGGUGUUUUAGAAGAGAAAUGAGAAGCAAGGUGCUAUGUAUAUUGUAGUUUGGAUAAAUGUUGUUCAUAGAGGUAUAGACACUGAAAGCCUUUGCUUCACAAUAGCUAUGGUACAGAUGCUAUAGGGCGGAAAAUAAUUAGUCAGGGCUGAAGUUAAUAAACUACAUAGGAAUCACUGGAUUCAAUUCUAUUUGUUUCACGGAGGUACUUCACAUUGCUAGGUGACUUUGAAGGAAAGCAAGUAUUUUUCAGCUUUAAAAUUAGAAAAAUUAGUGGAUGUUAGGCAAUCUACGAAAAAUUUUGAAGUAAUUAUUAGUAAUUUCUCAACAGUAGGUAAAUUCAAAUGUUCAUUCCCAUGUUAAAGAUAUGGAGGCAGAAAAUAAAAAACUAAAAAUGAUCAUGGGAGUGGUGUUGCUAGAAACUGGGAAUAACGUUCAUAUCCUUUAGCUUUGUGACUACCCAUCUACCCACACAUUCAUAUAUGGGAGUUAUUGAUAGUUCUGAUUUGUUUGAUUGGUGAAUGUCAUUUUCCAAGAUAUGUUGAAAUUCCUAGAAGAAAUAAGUGUUUUGUCAGGUGUGAUGAAUGCAGGGAAGGAAGAUGAAAACAAGACAACAUAGAUGUAUCAGUUUUCUCUUGCUGUUAAUAAACUACCCUAAAUAAAGCUUAGUGGCUUAAAACAAUAGCAUGUGAUUCUGGAGGUUGACAAUUUGGGCUGAGCUCAGCUGGGCAGUUUUGAUCUCAUCUUUUUCACGUGUCUUUUGCAACCCUGGGGUGACUAUGUGGGUCUUCUGGGAGUUGACGGCUGUUGGUUGAAAUACCUGGACUUUCCUCCACAUGGUCCCUCAUCCUCUAGAAGGCUAACAUGCACUUAUUCCCAUAGUAGUAGCAGAAUUUUAAGAGAAAGUGGGUUUGCAUGUGGUGGCUCACACCUGUAAUCCCAGCACAUUGGACAGCUGAGGCAGGUAGAUUGCUUGAGCCCAGGAGUUUGAAACCAGCCUGGGCAACAUGGUGAAAUCUUGUCUCUACAAAAAUUACAAGAAUUAACUGGUCAUGGUGUCACGGGCCUGUAGUCCCAGCUAGUCAGGAGGCUGAGGCAGGAGGCUUGAGCCUGGGAGGCAGAGUUUGCAGUAAGCCAAGAUCACGUCACUGCACUCCAUCCUGGGCAAUACAGCAAGACCCUGUCUCAAAAAAAGAAAGAAAGAAGAAAGAAAAAGAAAGAAAGAAGAAGGAAAAAGAAAGAAAGAAAGAAGAAAAAAGAAAGAAGAAAAAGAAAGAAAGAAAGAAAAAAAGAAAGAAAAAAGAGAAAGAAAGAGAACACAUACAAGGAAUGUAUUCUAAGGAUUGGUUUUGAUCUCAUCUUCUGUUCCUUCCACUGCAUGCUACUAUAGUUUCCAAAAAACGGUAAGACCAGCCUUUUUGAUGAGAGGAGCUGCAGUCACAUUUCAAAGGGCAUAGAUACAAAAAAGGGAGGGGCGUGGCCAUUUUUCAAUCAAUCUACUGUCAUGAACAGUAUUGGGAAGCUGAGGGAAGAUGGUCUUGAUUUGUUGUUGAAAAAAUGUGUGGAGAAAUAGGAAGAAAUAAAAAGAGGAUACAGGCAGGGAGAAAGAAGGGCAUCAAAGAGCAAUGGCUGGUUAAAAUGUGAUACAAACAGCAAUAGGGAACCCCGGAAGACCCUUAAGCAAGGCAGAAAUGUAGACGAAGCAGAGGGCAUGUAUAAACAUCCGCAGAGUUAUAGGAGACUUCUGGCUGAGGGCCCGGCAAGAUAAGUAGAGCGUUUGUAUCUCUGAGUUUCUGAGUUAAUGAUGCCAGCAGUCUCUGGACCGGCCAAAUUGUGGUGGAUUUAUUAUUUACAUUACAACUGCAUUGUAAAAUGAAAGCAUAUGUCUAUAUUUUCAAUGCUUUGAAAAUAUCAUUGAACAUGCUGUAGAAUUUUAUAUCCAGUAUCAGGAUGCAAUUUCCCUAUCAAAUAAAAUUGUUGUUUGCUUUCUGUACUCUAUAUUAUUAUGGAAAUUUCACAGUUUAUCAGCUACAGUGAAGUCGACUGAAAUGAGUAGGCCACAUAUUAUACAAGCUGUUUUCUCCCACCCCUCCGAAUAUCCUGAUUCCCUUUCUAUUUAUGCUAAUACUGUUUUAUGCUAAUAAUGUACUUUUUCUGUUUAUCUGUUUUGUUGCCAUACAGCCUGAUUCAUAGGAGAAACGCAAAUGUUUUAAAGCUCUCUGGUGGAAAUGAUAGUGUUCUGAAAUAACUCUAGCCAGGAAACAUCUUGGUGGUACCCUCUAGUUUCACUUUUCUUCCUGCCUCUCUUGAUGAUCCAUUGCUGAACCCAACAAAUAAGAAGUUGCUUAGGGCCUGGUUAAUUUUGCUGAUUUCUGCAAAGUAUGCCUGUGUUUGUUCCUAGUGACCAUAAGAGUAAUAGUAACUUACUGUGCAACUGGAUAAUAUUGGGGGAGACCCCCUUUUCCAAAAGCAAUUGACCCCCUCCCCCUUUUUAAAAUUGCAGUGUGAAACCAGCAAGUACCCAAAUCCUGUUAGCACAUAGUGUUCUUAUAUUUCUGAGUUCUGGAAUAACAAUUUAAUAGGGUGUGUCUCCCCUUAAUGGUUGUGAUGCAGGGCAGGCAAGCGCCCAAAUUUAAGGGCUUAUCCUGGAGAAUUCUUGGCUUUGUCCAGGAAAGAAUUCAAUGGCAAGCUGGCGGUGUUAAACAGCAAUCUUUUAUUGAACAGUAGUGCUCCUUGUGGAACAGGGCUAACUCCUAGGCAGCAGGCCUACAACCUGCAAUGUAGGGGCUGUUGGCAACUGUAUUUCUACCCACUUUCAAUUACAUGCAAAUUAGGGGGUGGGUCAAUGCAAUUUGAGGGGAUGGGUUAUUUAGAACUUUCUGGGAAAGGGGCAGUAAUUUUCAGGUCAUUGCCAUGGAAAGGGGUGGUAACUUUCAGGUCGUUGCCAUGGCAUUUGUAAACCAUCAUAGCACUGGUGGGAGAGUCUUAUGCUAACAGGCAAUGAGGGCAGCUAGCUUUCCUCACCAUCUGCUGGGUCCUGCAGUUUUCUUCGCUUUAUUCCCUUGGAACCUGGAAAUGAGUCCCGCUGGUGUCCUACCUCAGUUGCAUGUUUUGAAAAAUAUACCGCAUUAGAGCUUGGUAGCUCCUAUUUUCUCUAAAAGUGGUCUUCAGGUCUUGUGUCCAUUUUCUCAUUUUAAUUUGUUGCCCUGCAUUUGGCUGACUGUGGAUUCUGAGCAGGAGGGAAGGAUCAGCUGGCAAAGCAAGGAAAAGUAUGGUGGAAGGGUCCUUCCCUGAUUAGGGGUCUAGGGGAUAGUUAUUUAACCUGUAAGUGUGAGAGAUUUUAUAAAGAAAAUAUUCAGAAAAAUCGCUUCUCGGCCUUUUGGUUAAGAUCAAGUGAAGAAAAUAUUCAGAAAAUAUCCGCUUGUGUAAAAUAAUAUUUAAAGAACAAAUGAAUGUUUCUGGUAGCAUGUCUUCAUUAUAAAGCCAGGUCAGUUAAUCCUUGUGGCUGAGAGCAUGACCUUUGACGCUAGUUUCCACCUCUUCCUAGCUGCAUGACUGUGGGCAAAUAUGUUAAACCUCAGUCAGUCUCGGCUUAAUAAUAACUCAUAAGAAUGUGUCAAAAGUUAAAUUAAUAAGUGUAUUUGGUGCACAGUGCUUGGCAUACAGUAAGGGCUCAGCACUGGCAUCAUCGUCAUUAUCACUGUUGUUGUCGUCAUUGUCAUUAACCAGCCUCCUCACAUCUAUUUUCUUAUGCUGGUGUUCAAGGCCAAACUCUAUCAAUCAUGUGAUGUUGACUAGUAGGUGCUAGGUACAUAGCCCUCAACAAGUUUAUGAGAAAUAAGGGAAUGAGUGAGUGAAUCUAUCAAUCAUAUUGUAAUUACAGUGGUGCAGUGGUGUGUGUGCGUGUGUGUGUGUGUUUCUUUAAAAGGAGGAUUCAUUAGCUGAGCGUGAUGGUGAGCAUCUAUAGUCCCAGCUACUCAGGAGGCUGAUGUGAGAGGAUUGCUUGAACCCAGGAGUUCAAGCCACUGCACUACAGCCUGGGUGACAAAGCAAGAUCCUGCCUCAAAAAGAAUAAAUAAAUAAAAUAAAAUAAAAUAAAAGGAGGAUUCAACCCAAAUAAACAGAUAAGUGCUUUUGAUGACCUAUAAAUGGUGGAAUGACUAGUAACAAAAAACUUUCUCCAGGGAUUUAUUGAUGUUUUUGAAAAUCCUAAAUGGAAAACCAAUAGCAAGUACGUAGAAGAAGCAUUGCCUCAAGGCACCCAGGCCCUCACUUGACUUAUCUCUGUCUUAUCUCCCAAGGCUGCCCCUGAGGCUCCCCCUUUGGAAUUCUAGGGCUCAGAGGAGUCUGGGUGAACACAAAUGCCCUAAAGAAAUAUUGCAAUUAAUGUCUUUGUAGCUUGACUGUUUUAAUAAUGCUUUAAAAAUUGUUUGAAAAAAGGGCAAUGUUCAUAGCUAGAGACUGAAUUUCAGGCAACAAAUACAUCACAUUAUUCCAGACAUCUUGGCCAUCACAACUUCAGGAUAAUGUGCCCUGUUUUUCAGGAAAGGCUGGGCGUGGUGGCCCAUGCCUGUAAUCCCAGCACUUUGGGAGGCCGAGGUGGGAGGAUUGCUUGAAUCCAAGAGUUUGAGAUCAGUCUGGACAAUAUAGUGAGACCCCGUCUCUAAACAAAAAAACAAAUUUAAAUUAUCUGGGAAUGGUGGCACAUGCCUGUAGUCUCAGCUACUUGGGAGGCUGAGCAGGGGAGGAUAGCUUGAGCCAGAGAGGUCAAGGCUGCAGUGAUCAUAGCUGCAGUGAGCUAUGAUCACACCACUGAACUCCAGCCUGGGUGACAGAGCAAGAUCCUGUCUCAAAACAACAACAACAACCACAAAGUCCCCCUGCCCCCCGCCCCCAAAAAACACUGAGGAAAAUUCUAAAAUUAUGAAGUACAGAAAGCGUCAAGAUUGUUUUCAAAUUUACUGAAGUCUCUGACUUUCCACACUCUGGUCUCUAAUUAAUCUCUUUCCCAAGACUUCCCAGGGUGUUAUCUUCUUCUGAAUUGGUGCAUUCUCCUUAGAGCCCCUCCUUAAACAACCUCCUCUUGCUUUUAGGGACCUCUCUCCUUUCCCCGUUUAAAUCCUAUCCAUCUUUCAAGUCCUAAGACAAAUUCUAUCUCUUCUAGGAUAUAGUUUUCUACAACUCUCUCCCUUAUUUAGAUCCACACAGUGUAGCAUUUAAUUGUUCUGUGUUAGCUUUGUCUUCCUAAGUAGGUCACGUUCUCCUUGAGGGCAAAGAUUAUGCUUUAGUUUCCCUUGUUUCUCACUUGGAGAGGCUGGGAGUGAUAUAUACAUAGUAGGUGCUGAUUAAAUAUUUGUUGAUUGAUUCCCUGCAAAGGAGUAGCUGCAAACUAAAGUUAAAGCACUAAACAAACCAAAGCAGUGAUCUGAAUCUCCCUUUGGGAAGAUACUCUUACGGGAAUGGAAAAAAUUCUUCAAAGAGCCUUGUCAGUUAAUGUUCUUCUUUGAAUGCCCUUCUAAUGAGAUUUCAGGUGGGGGUGGUGCAGGGCUGCAGGAGCACUGUUCUCCUUUCCUGUAUAGUUUGGGGUCAGCUACCAAGGACAUCCCAGGAGAACAGGGACUCUGGGGUACAGAGGCAUGAGGAUAGGAUAUAAAACAAAAAGGAAGUGAAAUGCUUGUACACUCAUGUCUACACCCAAGAAUGUGUAAUGCAAGUCUCUUACCCACAAACCAGAAUGAAGAGAGGUUUGGUCCUGCAGCUAGAAAAUAAGAGCAAGAGUGAGAGAGAGAGAGAGACAGAGAGAGAGACAGAGCCCUGAGGCUCUUUGGGGUUGAUAAUAUUCUCUAAAGCUGGGGAGGGGAGAGCUGAUAAAAAGUGCUUGUUCACACUUAGCAGCAUGAAAGGUGACUGAGAAUUAGCCUAAGCCUCUGUGCCUAGCCUCUUUAUAAUGUACUGAAAGUUUCAUAGCUCUAUGCAGGGCAGAGACUGGGCAGGGUACAAUUCUUUACAAGACUAAAUCUUCAGGGCUCUAAGGAAAGGGAAAAGAAUGAAUGAGAGGCACACUAGCAGGGUUGGGAUAAAUGGGUGCAGGAGGAGAAAAGCUGCUUCUUCCUCUUCUCUGGAGAGAUCAAGGAUGAGUGGAUGGAGGGCUGUGUGAGCACAUACACUUCAGAACCUGAUGAUGGGUAGUGGCUGAGGCCACUCAUACAAACAUGAAAACCACUGCUGAGUUGAUGCACAUUCAUUUCUGAUAGCUCAGCAAUCUUACUAUAAAUAGGGAACAGCAGAUGCCAUUCAUUGUUCUGGAAUUGGAGGCACGGGCUCAUUGUCUUGCUUGGGAUAUUUGGACCGGCAUCAUUUAUUAAUCUAAAUAUUCAGUAAAAGUGGAAAGUCAAGGAUUCUCAGGUUAUGGAAAUUAGUGAUCCCCUCCAACAGAAAUAGACGUCAACACUACUUUUACAGAUGCUGAUGAAAAAGUAAAAUGAUUUGGUGGCCCAUUGGCCAAUUUACCUAUUCAUCUCUCUACCAUCUAUGAGUCUAUAUUUUUGAUGCAUUUCAAAGUAAAUUGCAGACAUCAACACACUUAACCCUAAAUACUUCAUAAUGCACAUAUAUAACUAAAGUUCAAUAUAUGUUUACAGUUUUUUUCUUAUGAUAUAAGAUUAGCAAGGUUGCUUAUAUACAAUGUAAAUUGCUUAUCUAUAAGAUGGAAUGGUCCCUAAUGUGGAUGUUAUCAUCCUUAAGUGGAAUUUUAAUUUCCACUCUAGGUCCAAAAUAUUUUCUUUGUAAAAUAAUUCCUUUGAAGUGAUAAUGGAACAUAUGAAACACACACACACACACACACACACACACACACACACACUUCAUCUCUCCUCUUGGAUCUUUGAACAUACACAUACACUCUCUUCGUCUCUCCUCUUGGAUCUUUGAACUUUGCUUCUGCUUAAAAUCUCUCAGGAUGGUUUCUGUAACUCUUUUUGGGGAGCGUUUGUUCCCUCUGGGUAUGAGGCUCAUCCACAGGUUCUUAAAUAUUGUAAAACCACCCAUGUCCCACAGGUAUAGCUGGGAAGACUGUUGGGUGAUUCUAAGAAAGGAAAAGCAGGCGAGGAGAAGAGGUUAGGAUAUUUUUUAUGGGAAAAAGCCAUAACCAAUGUCUAGAUGGUUGAAUAUGCAAUAAGCUGCCUGCUAUUGCCCUUGGUUCUCAGCGGAUAUUCAUAGCACAGAAUAUUCCAGGAAAAGUAGUAGUUUGGUUUCACCCUUGCUCUGCUUGGCAGUCCAGCAGUGCAUGGGUAGGGGAGGCCUCCCCAGCAGAAGACACUUUCAGAUGUGACCUUUCCUCACUACUUACAUUGAGAAGGAAGAGGGCAGAGCAGAGUAGGCUGGAGAUCUAAGAGCACAGUGCUCGGAGGAGAGAUGGUGGGAGAGAGAACGCAGCCCCAGUCACUCUCCUUUAUGACUUCCGGAGUCUGCUAGUGCCACAGUUCUCAAGUGUGCUUUGGGGGGUGGAGGGGGGUGCUCUGGAGGUCCCUUAUGACUUCCGGAGCUCACUAGUGCCACAGUUCACUUAGGGACCCUCUUAGGGUAUGUGUGAGGUCAUCCCUUUUCCAACUGCGUAGUCAUGUGAAGCUGAAUUUUCUUUAGCUACACCACUAAAACAACAUAUUGCAACAAAGCGAAUGCAGAAGUGGAUAUGAGAACCUAGCUGCCUUUUCUUAACAUAGGUGUUAAAGAGACUUGCAAAAAUGCAAAGUAAUGUUACUCUUCUCAUAAAUUUUUAAUUUUGGAAAAUAUAGUUUUUAAAUGGAAUAAAAAUGCUGUCUAUGUGUUAUGUACCUUAGCAUGUAAUGGGUUUAUAGUUCUUUUAAAAUAAAUGUCUACAUGAAUAUUUAAAGUUUUCUUACUUUUAAUUUCUUUCUCUCUCUCCCUUUCCUUCCUUCCUUCCUUCCUUCUUUCCUUCCUUCCUUCUUUCCUUCCUUCCUCCCUCCCUUCCUCCCUCUCUCUCUCUUUCUCUCUUUCUUUCUUUCUUGACAGAGUCUUGCUCUGUCAAGCCCAGGCUGCAGUGCAGUGGCACAAUCUCAGCUCACUGCAACUUCUUCCUUCCGGGUUCAAGCAAUUCUCCUGUCUCAGCCUCCUGAGAAAGUGGGAUUACAGCCGCCAGCCACCAUGCUUGGCUAAUUUUUGUAUUUUUAGUAGAGACAGGGUUUCACCAUGUUGGCCAGGCUGAUCUCAAACUCCUGACCUCAAGUUAUCCGCCUGCCUCGGCUUCCCAAAGUGCUGGAAUUACAGGUGUGAACCAUUUUAAUUUCUAAUAUCAUCACUAAUAAUCUACAUAAAUAAAAGCUGUUUGGGGUUCUCGAUAAUCGCUGAGUGAAGAGGCUCUGAGACUAGAGUUUGAGAACAUCUGCCUAAGGAAGAGCUUACGAAUUCCAAAACCAUGGCAGGAAUGGCGAUCCUUAGAGAAGAUGGAUUCAUUUCAGGGACAUGUUAACUGUAAAAAGAUCAACUCUUCCUCUCUGAACCAACAGCCUGUGUCUACUCCCAAGUGCAAGUGUCCUGAGAGAGGUAUGGCUGCAUGCCUGCCAGGGAGUUUCCUUCCUUUACUUCAUAGCACUGUUUGUUCACAACAUUUUCUUCCUUAUUGACUUGAACACAAGGACACCACCUACCUCAUGUCUUCCUUCUUCCCGUGGAUGUCCAGAUGAAGCACUCCACACUCCUUUGAGAGAGAUAAACAAGGAAGAUGUGUGCUUAGUCCAGAGGUUUCAUCAAGAAAUGAAAGCAGAGACAAUAAAGUUUUGGUCUUGGUUCUCCUGUUGGCUUCAGAAUGAACAUAAUUAAGAUGAUUAACGAUCAACUCAGGCCUGAAAAAUGAGUAACUGUAGGUCAUGUUGCCAUGAAGUUACGAAGAAAAAGAACUCUUCAGAGGUGUAUACAUG
rnacentral:lncRNA from 1 species